GCCCCCAUCGUCUAGUGGCCCAGGACGUCGGGUUCUCAGCUCGAAAACAGGGGUUCGACUCCCCUUGGGGGUA
rfam:Beta vulgaris subsp. vulgaris contig118530.1, whole genome shotgun sequence.